UACGAAGGGGGCUAGCGUUGCUCGGAAUGACUGGGCGUAAAGGGCGCGUAGGCGGUUUGGACAGUCAGAUGUGAAAUUCCUGGGCUCAACCUGGGGGCUGCAUUUGAUACGUUCGGACUAGAGUGGGGAAGAGGGUCGUGGAAUUCCCAGUGUAGAGGUGAAAUUCGUAGAUAUUGGGAAGAACACCGGUGGCGAAGGCGGCUCUCUGGACCGAGACUGACGCUGAGGCGCGAAAAGCUAGGGGAGCAAACGGGG
rnacentral:rRNA from 1 species